UACGUAGGUGGCAAGCGUUGUUCGGAAUUAUUGGGCGUAAGGGGCGCGUAGGCGGCCUGUUAAGUCGGCUGUGAAAGCCCGGGGCUCAACCCCGGAGGGUCAGCCGAUACUGGCAGGCUAGAGUACGGAAGAGGUAGCUGGAAUUCCCGGCGUAGCGGUGAAAUGCGCAGAUAUCGGGAGGAACACCAAUGGCGAAGGCAGCUCGCUGGGACGGUACUGACGCUGAGGCGCGAAAGCGUGGGGAGCAAACAGG
rnacentral:rRNA from 1 species